rnacentral:rRNA from 1 species
UACAGAGGUCUCAAGCGUUGUUCGGAUUCAUUGGGCGUAAAGGGCGCGUAGGCGGCAAGGCAAGUCGGGUGUGAAAGCUUGGGGCUUAACCCCAAAAGGGCACUCGAAACUGCCCUGCUAGAGGGCCGGAGAGGAGAUCGGAAUUCACGGUGUAGCAGUGAAAUGCGUAGAGCUCGUGAGGAAGACCGGUGGCGAAGGCGGAUCUCUGGACGGCCCCUGACGCUGAGGCGCGAAAGCAUGGGGAGCGAACAGG